UACAGAGGGUGCAAGCGUUGUUCGGAAUUAUUGGGCGUAAAGGGCGCGUAGGCGGUGCGGUAAGUCUGUAGUGAAAUCUCUGGGCUCAACUCAGAGUCUGCUGCAGAAACUGCCGUGCUUGAGUGUGGGAGAGGUGAGUGGAAUUCCGGUGUAGCGGUGAAAUGCGUAGAUAUCGGGAGGAACACCUGUGGCGAAAGCGGCUCACUGGACCACAACGUGACGCUGAGGCGCGAAAGC
rnacentral:rRNA from 1 species